AACGCUGGCAGCGUGCAUAACACAUGCAAGUCGAACGGGAAUUACUGGUGUAGCAAUACAUCGGUGGUUCUAGUGGCAGACGGGUGAGUAAUACAUAAGGAAUCUACCUAGAAGUGGGGAAUAACUGGCCGAAAGGUCUGCUAAUACCCCAUGACAUAAAGAGGCGGCAUCGUCUCUUUCUUAAAGGUUUUUCGCUUCUAGACGAUCUUAUGGUCUAUCAGCUAGUUGGUAGGGUAACGGCCUACCAAGGCGACGACGGAUAGCCGGCCUGAAAGGGCGACCGGCCACAGGGGCACUGAGACACGGGCCCCACUCCUACGGGAGGCAGCAGUGGGGAAUUUUGGACAAUGGACGAAAGUCUGAUCCAGCAACGCUGCGUGAAGGACGAAGGUUUUCGGAUUGUAAACUUCUUUUGCAGGGGAAGAAAAAAAUGACGGUACCCUGUGAAUAAGCCACGGCUAACUACGUGCCAGCAGCCGCGGUAAGACGUAGGUGGCGAGCGUUACUCGGAAUUACUAGGCGUAAAGCGUACGUAGGCGGAAGUUUAAGUCUGUUGUGUAAUCUCCAAGCUCAACUUGGAAACUGCAACAGAAACUGGGCUUCUUGAGUGAGGCAGAGGAAAGCGGAAUUCCUGGUGUAGCAGUGAAAUGCGUAGAUAUCAGGAGGAACACCGGUGGCGAAGGCGGUUUUCUGGGCCUUUACUGACGCUAAAGUACGAAAGCUAGGGGAGCAAACGGGAUUAGAUACCCCGGUAGUCCUAGCCGUAAACGAUGAUAACUAGGUGUGGGAGGUAUCGACCCCUUCCGUGCCGACGCUAACGCAUUAAGUUAUCCGCCUGGGGAGUACGGCCGCAAGGUUAAAACUCAA
rnacentral:rRNA from 1 species